rnacentral:rRNA from 1 species
AGUGAACGCUGGCGGUAGGCCUAACACAUGCAAGUCGAACGGCAGCACAGUAAGAGCUUGCUCUUACGGGUGGCGAGUGGCGGACGGGUGAGGAAUACAUCGGAAUCUACUUUUUCGUGGGGGCUAACGUAGGGAAACUUACGCUAAUACCGCAUACGACCUACGGGUGAAAGCAGGGGAUCUUCGGACCUUGCGCGAUUGAAUGAGCCGAUGUCGGAUUAGCUAGUUGGCGGGGUAAAGGCCCACCAAGGCGAUGAUCCGUAGCUGGUCUGAGAGGAUGAUCAGCCACACUGGAACUGAGACACGGUCCAGACUCCUACGGGAGGCAGCAGUGGGGAAUAUUGGACAAUGGGCGCAAGCCUGAUCCAGCCAUACCGCGUGGGUGAAGAAGGCCUUCGGGUUGUAAAGCCCUUUUGUUGGGAAAGAAAAGCAGCAGGUUAAUACCCCGCUGUUCUGACGGUACCCAAAGAAUAAGCACCGGCUAACUUCGUG